rnacentral:lncRNA from 1 species
CUACCGUCAUCUCACGGGAGGAUGCUCAACGCCCCAGGCCUGAGAGCGACCUGCCCUGGGCUCCAAGGAAGGGAGGCCGAUGGAGGCUACAGCCUUCUCCGUCCACAGCACCCAGAAAACAGCUAAUGCCCCCUGCCGCGUGGGACUGAGACACCCGCUCUCAACUCCAGGGCCAGCCGGGAGCUGCGUGAGCCUGGCAGGAAGGGUGGGGCACAGGUGCUGGACGACGAGCCACCUUGGCCAACAGGCCACAGGGAGCGUGAAACGGAGAAGUCGACACGCACACCCGCCCCGGAGGAGCCGCGGGGAAGGUCGAGGCAGGGCGCGGGAGAGACGCAGGGCCCGGCCGCUCCAGGCUCGCAGUGGACCACGGGCGGUUCCCGAGCCGGGGCCUGAUGCGGUGCCCACGGCCCGCCGCUCCUCGGCUCAGACUUCAGACGUGUGGUUCAAGAAAACAAAACCACCUAAACUUCUAGGUUCUGCUCCUUUUCCAAGCCUGGUUCUCCAAGCUCCCCUUGAUUCUGCGAGAUACCUGGUCUCCCGCCAAGUCCCUCUCCAACCGCACGGGCGCUCAGGGGCGACGGUCCGGCCCUGCGCGGUGGCCCUGAGGCAGCCGAGCCAUCCCCUCGGCGGGGGCGGCCAGCAGGAGGCCGGCGUGGACCCCCGGGGUGGGGGUGCUGAGCAGACCCUGGCGGCGGGGGCCGUAUGGGCCCCGAUGAUUCCAGUUGCCGGGUGGCCGCUGUCAGAACUGGGGCUUCGAGGAAAGAAAACACACACCCCACCCCCGAUUCCUGGUUUAGAGACUGAACCCCGGGCAUCUGCUGAGAUCGCAUUGCAAAACGUCUUCGCUCUGGAAGACGCCGGGGCAGGGUGACUCUUUCCAGUUAGUGUCCGCUUUUGAGGCGCUCAGACUCGGGGGCCCGUCACGCGAGCCAGGACAGCCAUCCACGAAGAACGGGCCCCCGGGACUUAGAAGGGGCGUUGAAUGCCGCUGCGGCCCCCAAAUCAGAGACGGAGCUCAGGCGACCUGGGGAUAAAUGGGCUCUGACCUGUGCCCCCUCGGGUGCAUCCGGGGUGCUCCCCUAACCCUCCCCGGUCUUUCUCCGGCUCCUGGCCUCUGGGAUAGCACCUAGCGGAACAGUUGGCUCCUGACCCUGGGCCGAAGAGGAGCACAGUGGGGACCCCGCACGCCGCCUGCUGCUGGCCCCAAAGCCCCGCCACGUUCCUGAGGAAUUUAUAGACAGAGAGGCCGCAGGCCCCAGACGCGAGGAACGCACUUGCUGCCCGAGCACGGCUGGUGGAUCAGAGACGGACGCGGCAUCCGUCACCCAGGGCUGGAUUCGGCCCCCGUGCACGCAGGUUUGCACAGACGCUCCCGUCUCAGGCACGUACCACAGGGUGGCCCCCAGAAGUCUGGACUGUUCCACGGUACCCCGGGCCACAUGGGGACCUCACACUGUAGGACGUGGUGCCUGGCCUGCCAGAGGAUGGAGGAGAAGCCCACGGGGGCGUGCGACCUCCCAGCGGAGCUGUGUGUGUGAGGGUCUGAUGGCCUGGGACGGGCCAGGACAUCCGUCCUCGUCCUCCAGCUGCUCAGAAAGAGGCCACAGGUUCAGGGACCUUGGUGGGUGGGGAGGCCCCCAGCUCCUGGCGGGACAGAGCCAAAGCAGACCCCAAGGACGGUCCCUGACGAGCAGGGACGAGCGGAGAUGUAAGCGUAAAGCGGGGGGGGGGGGGGGGCACAGGAAUUCCCCGCGGGCUGCCACCAGAGGCCCCAGAGGCAGGACCCCCGCAGCAGGUACCCACCCUCACUUUGAGAAACAGCUCCUGGCUUAGGCCAAGUGGGCAGUGACACCUGAGAGUGGCACACCCAGAGCCAAGGGGGCGGGGUGGAGGGAUGCCGCGUGGGCCCCCGCGCCCGCCAUCCACCAGGCUGCGCCCGCUCCACGCCAUCACCGCCAGGCGCACCGUGUCCCCUUCAGGUGUCCGCUGCACCUGGGGCUUCCUCCGGGGCCGGCGGGGAGGGGUCCACCAGGUGGGGCCCCAGUUCACAGACGCCUACACCUGGUGCUGGCUCCCGAGAGCCCCACGGGGCCCGUGACCAGUUGCACACCCGGUGCCCGGUCCCUGGUCGGCCCCGACCACGCUCUGCAUGUCCGUCCCCCAGGCCUACGGCCCGCGAGAGGCUCCAGCAGCGCCAAACGAGAUUGUCGAGAUUGUCGGAGCCCCUCUAAAGCCCGGGGUAAUUGCUUCCAGGGGGUUUAUGGUCCCCGGGAGUCGCGAGCCACGCCCCCUCGGCCGGGAAGGCCGCAUUUCACCACCAAGGACACGACCCUGGGUAUUUACAGACGGUAAUGAGACUGUCCACUGCUCGAUGUUGCCAUAAAUAAGCGGCGAAACUGCUGAGUUUCACGCAAUUCUCCCUGAUUGCCUGGAAGGCCCCAUUAUUUUAAUAAAAAAACUAAUCAGCAGCCUCCCGGCAUCUCGGGCUCCGCGUUAAUUACGGAGCGGAGGCGGCGCGGCGGGGCGGGCAGGGCGGGCAGGGCGGCCACGGACCGGGGCCCCUGUGUGCUGAGAGGAGUGGCUUAAAAGGAAGAGGAAGGGAGUGUUCGCCUUAAAAAUAACAGCGAUUGCGCAGGACGUCCGUCUGACCCACCGGACAGACCCCACUACUUCCACGGGCCUUCCCGGAUCGAGGCAGCCACCGGCCUCCUCCGCGCCGAGGCGUCUUGGUGUCCGGGGACUGGGACGGGCCGCGCACCGCCUGGCGUCCCAGAAAGUACGGGGACGCUGGGGGAAGACUCGGUGCCAGGCUUCCUUCCCUCUCUCACCCCCUAAUGUCUUCUGUCCUGCGCCUUCCUCCUGCCUGGAGCACGGAUGUGAUGCUGGAGGUGGAGCAGCGGUCUUGUGACCAUGAGGCUACAGGCAGGAGGACAAAAGCUUCAUCCAGGAUGACGGCUGGACAGAGAGACAGGCAGCGCCGAGGCCCUGCAGGCAGGGGUUGGAAGCAGCCGCUUUACCCCACGCUGCUUGUUAUGCAGGAAACAUAAAGGGACAUAAAGCCUGGGGGGCUCAGUGGUCGAGGGGCCGAGGGCGUGACCCCGGGGCCCCGGGAUCUAGUCCCGCGUCGGGCUCCCUGCAUGGAGCCUGCUUCUCCCUCUGCCUGUGUCUCCGCCUCUCUCUAUGGGUUUCUCGUGAAUAAAUAAAUAAAAUCUUAAAAAAAAAAAAAAAAAGAAAAGAAACCUAGAGCCCAUUUGGUGAAGAAACCAUUGUAAGUUGGGCUUUAUUUAAUCCCUAAGCAGUGCAUCCAAGAAUAAUCAUUACUAAUUGAAAGAAAAAAACAAGGCCCCUGGAGGAAUUUGAAGUUGGCCUCGUUUGUAACCGUGCGCGCCCUGGAACCUGGACCCCGCACCUUCCCGGGCACGGAGGAAAGGCACCCCGGACGCCGGGUGGGCCCCCCGACCUCACCCAAACCCCAGAACAAGCCGCCUCAGCCCCUGCUGGGACCGCUCUGCGGGCUGCAGGAGGGCCAGAGGUCAGCAGGGGGGUCACCGGGGCUCGGGGGCUGUUGGCAGGCUCUCCUGACGGGUACCAGCAGAGACCCAAGGGCCCGAGAAAAUGGGGGAGUGGAGCUGGGGGAAGGAAGUGAAGCACUGAAUAGAGCCUUAGGCUUUAGCUGCAA